UUAAGCUAAAAUUUUCUUUUGCAUGGAAGCUAAUUUUAUAUUUGAGGUGUAAUAGAUACACAUGCCUUGGAUACACUCCGUUCUGAUGGUAAUACUUUCAGUCACUCACAAACAAUAAGCUUCAGCAUACAAGGCAGCGUUCAAUGCUAUUGGACUCAGGUGUUGGUAUACAAUUUCUUGUACAUUUUACUUCAGCUUACAAGGCAGAAUUCAAUGCUACUAAGUCUGUUCUUAGUGUAUUGACAAAGCCAAUUAUGGGGCCACUGUUAGAGGUUCUUGAAUGUACCAUGCUACUAUAGAACGUGUGUGCAGAAACAGUUGAAUAUCUCAGUUCAGCUGCAAUGGUAGCGAUGGAGACAUCAUGCAGUGUGGUUAUCAUUUGGCCAUUUUGGUUCAUCUUCAGUACGAUAUUUAAUAUUGCCAAUUCAGUCUUGUACCCUGUAAUUUGGUUCGUCGGAGAGAUACUAGCCGCACCUUUCCGACUUGUCACUGCACUAGCAAGUUUUGUAGCACACUUCUUUGAUGAUAUUGUUGAUGUUUUAGACAAACCUGGUCAGCAUUAAGUUUGUUAUAUCAUGUUGGUUCUGCAUCCAGUGCACCUGCACUUAUAUCUGAAACUACCAUUUGGGGAUUACACUGGAAAGAUCUUCUGUACCAUGUAACAUAAAUUUGUUUGCAUGCCUACUAUUUUUUUCAAUUAGUAUAUUAUGCAACUUACAUCGGCUCUUGUUUUAGAUUUUCCAUGCAGCCCGGAGAAUUUUCUACUGUUUUGUUGCCUUCUUUUCAAUGUGCAAUAGGCAUCAGCUAAGCAUUUACAAUCACAUAGAAGUUCUUCUCUGACGCCUAUCCUACCUUAAAUGGCACGCAACAUACUUCCUCUUGUGAAGGAGCUUGGAAGUACAGUAAUCAAGAUCAUCCUACAUGUGAAUACAUAUUCAUUCCAAAACAGCCCAUCUACCGUGGACUGGACACUGAGAGUGUAAAGAGUGAUGGUGAUGAUUCUGGAGAUUGUGUUAGGGUGUCGUCAAGUUUCACAAGCUCAUCAUACACCCCACCAGCCACCACCUUGCUCUGGACCUAACAAGAGAAGAAGGAUAACAAGAUCUGAUGCUGGAUGCCAGGAAGUGAUAUAUCUAAAGAACCAUACUCAGAAUUUGUGACCUCACCAAGAUAUUCAUCUUCAUCAUGUUGGUGGAGCCUAGCACAUACAAGGAUGUGUUGAUCUUGUUCUGAUUCAACGAUCAUGAUCUGCCGUUCAGACUAAAGGAAGUUAUACUGUCUGAUCGUUCUUGAUCCCUUCCUUCGCAUUCACGACCAUCGAGAUGACUCCAUUAACGAGACGUUCUCCGGCAUUGACCACCGCCCCUGCACGAUGUUUAGACUCUAGGCUGUAGUGUGUUAAGCGGACGAGAAAUCUGAGCAUCUCCACUUGUCCAGGUUUCUCCACUGCAUAUUCUGCAUGCCCCUGCACCUACUGCCUUCAAUAUCUAUGCUAACCUACACCCCCUUUGUCAGUGCUUUUGUUUAUAUAUUGUCCUUCUGUUCUUGAUGUGGAUGGGUGGAAGCAUGUAUUUCUGAUACAUGUAUACGUUUUAAGAAGGGAUGUUGAUAGAAGACUCCUAUUAUGCAUGUACCUAUUUUCUUAAAAGCAUCCAAUGUCUGUCAUGUCAAUUAUGUUGACUGACCAAGAUGAU